UAAUAUCGUAGGUUGCAGACACAAGAUCGCGCUGCGUAACGAGUCUGGAAAUUCUCGUGGUGCUCCGUAUGAAAGCUCAGCGACUGUGGCCGUAAUCUGCAACAUCGCAGAAUGCACAACUACAGUGGAAUAGCCUACAAUUAUAGAAAAUCAAGGUAAUCCUUCCAGUUAUCCACAAAUGUAAACAUAGUAUUCAAAGAUUUAGUAAAUAGUCACUUCAAGUAUUGAUCUACACUCAUGAAUCCAAGUCUGAAAACGAUUUAUUAGUUGAAGCAUGUGUUAUUUCACAGAAUAACUACAGCUGUUUUAGCCGUAGGAUUUAUCAACACAGCCUUCACCAAAUUAUAUCUGAUUUGUGCAGAUUCGCAGAACAUUUUACAGUCUAAAAAUCUACUACCUUAAAGCCGCGAUAAAUCAACACAAUUUAAACAUAAAAAAUGAAUGUCUCGUCAUACACGAGGAUUGAAGAUAACGAAAUACAGAAGGCAACGGUUGAAAGUAUAAAUAACGAAUCUCUUCCAGUCUAUCGAUCAGAUUGUUGGCAAGUCCCCAAAGGAAUGAUAAUACAGGUCGACAGAGGAAGAGCAGGCCAGGCAGAACUUGACAUUUAGCCUGUUCAGACUUGAUCUGAUUUAGAAUGCAGCUUGCAAGUCUUGCAACUGCGAGCACAACUAUCAAGAUCUGGAUCAUGUAUUAUGACAAUAUCCCUAACACUCAAAUUACUAUACUCCAUCAGUAAGCUGCUAAAUAGUUCAAGAAUUAAAGAACUGAAGAUCAUUGACAACUUAAUAAACAAGCCAUAUCUUAAGGAACAACAUAAAGGAACAGAGGUUGUAUAUAAGCAUAUAUAAAAAUGUACAUAUAAUUAUACCUAGAAUAAGAACUAAUGUUUAAGCAAUGUAACAAUGUGCAAUCUCUAAAUAAAAAUAGCGCAUAGAUAGUA